UCACGGAGCGGAGACGGCAAAUGGCGGACUUCGAUACCUACGAUCAUCGGGCCUGCAGCAGCUUCGGCGGCGGCAGAGGGUCCCGCGGCAGUGCUGGUGGCCAUGGUGCCCGUAGCCAGAAGGAAGUGCCCACAGAGCCCCCCACCCCCAACAGCAUAUGUAGGAAAUCUACCCUUUAAUACGGUUCAGGGCGACAUAGAUGCUAUCUUUAAGGAUCUCAGCAUAAGGAAUGUACUACGGCUAGUCAGAGACAAAGACACAGAGAAAUUUAAAGGAUUCUGCUAUGUAGAAUUUGAUGAGGUGGAUUCCCUUAAGGAAGCUUUGACUUAUGAUGGUGCACUCUUGGGUGAUAGGUCACUUCAUGUGGACAUUGCAGAAGGCAGAAAACAGGGUAAAGAUGGCUUUGGAUUCAGGAAAGGUGGACCAGAUGACAGAGGAGUGGGUGGCUCUCGAGAAUCUAGAGGUGGAUGGGAUUCCCGGGAUGACUUCAAUUCCAGCUUCAGGGAGGAAGUCGCCCAGGUGACCGGCGAACCGGUCCCCCAGUGGGGAGUCGUUUCAGAGAUGGUCCUCCCCUUCGAGGGUCCAACAUGGAUUUCAGAGAACCAGCAGAAGAGGAAAGAGCACAGAGACCAUGGCUCCAGCUUAAACCUCGGACAGUUGCAACACCCCUCAAUCAAGUAGCCAACCCCAACUCUGCUAUCUCCGGGGGAGCCAGACCCAGAGAGGAAGUCUUUCACAAGGAGCAAGAAUGA